rnacentral:rRNA from 1 species
ACAAUCUGAAUCUGCGAACGGCUCCGCAUACCAGUUGUAAUCCAUAGCGAGACAGGUUCGGGAUGGGCACCUCGGUGUCGUACCCGGGCCUGGAUACGGAUAGCCCUGGUAAUUCUGAGACUAAUACGAGAAGUUACAACCUGGUCAACCGGGCAACUGGAAGGCUGGGGGUCGUGUAAAGCUUAACCGCUGCACACGAUCGGGCGAUUCCGUACACGAUCAGACCGCCAUACAAACGUGCUGGGACCAAGUAGUACCUUCGGGGAACCGCGGUCCUGGUGCGGGCGGCUCUCGCUCGUGCUUCUGACCUAUCAACUAGACAGCAGUUUGAGGGNCAUGCUAUGGUCACAACGGGUACAGAGGAUAAGGGUUCGAUCCUGGAGAGUGGGCCUGAGAGAUU